UAGUAAUAGUGCACUUGUUAUUAUCUU
rnacentral:sRNA from 1 species